GUAGUCUCGCACAGAUGCAUAUCAAUAAGCGGAGGAAAAGAAACUAACAAGGAUUCCCCUAGUAACGGCGAGUGAAGCGGGAAGAGCUCAAAUUUGAAAUCUUAAAGGGUUUCCCUUUACGAAUUGUAGUUUAAAGAAGUGUUUUCUGUUGAGGUUUUGGUAAAAGUUCUUUGGAAUAGGACAUCAUAGAGGGUGAGAAUCCCGUAUUUGACCUUUACUUUCAACUUUGUGAUACACUUUCAAAGAGUCGGAUUGUUUGGGAAUGCAGUUCAAAAUGGGUGGUAAAUUUCAUCUAAAGCUAAAUAUUGGCGAGAGACCGAUAGCGAACAAGUACCGUGAGGGAAAGAUGAAAAGAACUUUGAAAAGAGAGUUAAACAGUACGUGAAAUUGUCAAAAGGGAAGCGUUUGACACCAGUGUUGUUUUUCUGAAAAUCAAUAAAGAACUGUUUAUGCUAAGCUGUUUAGACUUUAUCAGCUAACUGUUUAGUUUUGAGCUUUUCUUUAAUGCACUUUUCAGUUAACAAGUCAACAUCAAUUUCUUUUGCUGUAAAAAAGCUUGAGGAAGGUGGCUUGAGAUUCGUCUUAAGUGUUUAUAGCCUCUUGCCUAUGCAGUCGGAGAGAUUGAGGUCUGCAGCGUAGAUCCUUCGGGGCUAAAUGCAUUUGUGCUAAGUUAUAGCAUUUUAUAGACAACUUGUUGACUAUGAUUUGUCUUGUAGCUUACUCGCUUAUGUUAUUUUACCUACGCUUAGGAUGUUGAUAUCGCGCUCUCACUG
rnacentral:rRNA from 1 species